UACAGAGGUCUCAAGCGUUGUUCGGAUUUAUUGGGCGUAAAGGGCGCGUAGGCGGCGGGGUAAGUCGGGUGUGAAAUCUCAGGGCUCAACCCUGAAACUGCACUUGAUACUGCUCUGCUUGAGGACUGGAGGGGAGACUGGAAUUCACGGUGUAGCAGUGAAAUGCGUAGAUAUCGUGAGGAAGACCAGUGGCGAAGGCGGGUCUCUGGACAGUUCCUGACGCUGAGGCGCGAAGGCCAGGGGAGCAAACGGG
rnacentral:rRNA from 1 species